GUCGUAACAAGGUUUCCGUAGGUGAACCUGCGGAAGGAUCAUUACAAAUCCCUUUGAUUGGUGUUUAUUUGUGGAGAGUAUUAUUAGUAUUUUCCAUGGGUAGAUGUCAACACAUGUGCUCUUGGCCAAAGAGUGUUUUUUUCGAAAUAUCUCUCUUUGGACAGGUGACAUUAACGCUUGUGGUGUUUGACAGAGUUUUAUUAUAAUGUAAAAAAGACAACUUUUAACAAUGGAUCUCUUGGCUCUUGCAACGAUGAAGAACGCAGUAAAGUGCGAUAUGUAGUGCGAUUUGCAUGAAUCUGUGAGUCAUCUAAUCUUUGAACGCAACUUGCACCCAUUCGUGGGUAUGACUGUUUGAGUGCCGAUUCUCUAUACCUAUUUAGAUGCUUGGUGUAUGAAUUUCAUAUAUCAGUGUCUGGAUGGUGACUUGAAAGUAUAUCUGUGAUUAAUUCUUGUAAUUAUUCUCUAGAGAUUCUUUUUGAACAAAGCACGCUCGGCUUUAGUUGAAAGCUGUUUCAUGGGAUAGAGACUAUUGUCUUUUUCAUCAAACACUUUUUACAAGGCUCGUCUUUUUAAAACAAAGACUUUUACAUCAGGGUCUCAAAUCAGUCAAGAUUACCCGCUGAACUUAAGCAUAUCAGUAAGCGGAGGAAAAGAAACUAACAAGGAUUCCCCUAGUAACGGCGAGUGAAGCGGGAAUAGCUCAAAUUUGUAAUCUCGCGGUCCCCGUCGCGAAUUGUAAUCUAAAGAGGGUAAUCUAUGUGUGCGUGGUCGACAAAGUCCCUUGGAAUAGGGCGCCAAAGAGGGUGAGAGCCCCGUAAAAUCGAUCACAAUCACAGUAAUGAGAACCUUUCAAAGAGUCGAGUUGUUUGGGAAUGCAGCUCAAAAAGGGUGGUAAAUCUCAUCCAAGGCUAAAUAUUGGCAAGAGACCGAUAGCGAACAAGUACCGUGAGGGAAAGAUGAAAAGCACCUUGAAAAGGGAGUUAAAUAGUACGUGAAAUUGUUAAAAGGGAAACGAUUGAGACCAGUAUUGAGAUUUGGGAGGAAAGCAGGAGAUUUCGGUCUCUUGUGAUCACCAUGCUCGAGUCAAUAUUGAUUGUGUUUGCUGGAUAAGCAUUGGUGGAAGGUGGUGUCAUUUUUCGAAAUGGCUCUUUAUAGACACUGAUUGUUGCAGUCGACGCGAUCUGAAAUGGGUGUUUUUGAUUGUUUUGUGAUCAUGCUGGCAAGCCUCUGCACGACAUGUCGAGCAAGGGCCCAACAGCAAGCGAGCAAAAUAAAAAAAUUCAUCCAAAUUGACGAAAUGGUCUUUAACGAC
rnacentral:rRNA from 1 species